rfam:Rattus norvegicus chromosome 12, whole genome shotgun sequence.
GGGGAUUUGACUCAGUGGUAGAGCGCUUGCCUAGGAAGCGCAAGGUCCUGGGUUCAAUCCCCAGCCCCG